rnacentral:sRNA from 1 species
CUGCUCGCUCGGUCACUUGCUCCAUCAAUUUGCGGCCACGAAGAGACAAAGAAAGCGUUGCUCUGUUUGUUGCUAGGUGGAAUGGAAAAGAUUCUGAACAAUGGUUCUCGUUUGAGGGGAGAUAUCAAUGUUCUUCUCAUCGGAGAUCCAUCUGUUGCCAAGUCUCAACUGCUUCGAUAUGUUCUUCGUAUGGCCCCAAGAGCUAUCACCACAACUGGACGUGGAUCUUCGGGUGUUGGACUUACUGCUGCUGUUACUACUGAUCCUGAUUCGGGAGAACGUCGUCUUGAAGCUGGAGCAAUGGUUCUCGCCGAUCGUGGUGUCGUUUGUAUUGAUGAAUUUGACAAGAUGUCUGAUAUUGAUAGAACUGCAAUCCACGAAGUUAUGGAACAGGGACGUGUCACAAUUUCGAAGGCUGGAAUCCACGCGAAGCUGAAUGCUCGUUGCUCGGUUCUGGCUGCAGCAAAUCCGGUG